GAUGAACGCUGGCGGCGUGCCUAACACAUGCAAGUCGAGCGACCGCACAGUAAGCUUGUUCCUCUGCUGUUAGCGGCGGACGGGCGAGUAACACGUGGAUAACCUUCCUAUUUGUCUGGGGUAACUUCGGGAAAACGGUGACGAUACCAGAUCAUAUUUUGUACCGCAUGGUUCAAAAGUGCAUCACGCCUUUGCCGUUUCUUAUAGCUGAUUUCGCGCUGGAUUAGCUAGUUGGUAAGGGAACGGCUUACCAAGGCAACGAUGCAUAGCCGGACUGAGAGGGUGAUCGGCCACACUGGAACUGAGACACGGUCCAGACUCCUACGGGAGGCAGCAGUAGGGAAUCUUGCACAAUGGGCGAAAGCCUGACGCAGCAACGCCGCGUGAGUGAAGAAGGUCUUCGGGUUGUAAAGCUCUUUUAUUGGGAAAGAACAGAUGUAGGAGAAUACGUGGAUGUUUUGACGGUACCCAAACAAAAAGCCACGGCUAACUUCGUG
rnacentral:rRNA from 1 species